CUAAAAGGCUAGGGGUGUUUCCGCCCAAUUCCAGUGCGGAAGCUGAGAAAAACCCUUCGAACCUGAUCCGGUUAAUGCCGGCGUAGGAAAGCCAAUCCUUCCCUGC
rnacentral:ncRNA from 2 species